AUUUUCAAAACAUCUGGAGCAAGAGACAAAUCCCAUCAGCUCAGUUCCAACAAUAUAUGCAGAUGGGCAACUGAUGGUCAGACUCCAGUGGUUCUUCAAAACUUUCUAGGAGGUAAACAAGAUGAAAGGGAAAGCACACAAAUUUGCUGGAAUUUGGAAAACACGAACCCUGGAAUUUGGAGGAGUCACUUCCACUGGAAAAUACUUUUAUAUUAUUUAUAGUGGCUACCAUUACCGUGCUCACUUUACAGGUGAGGUUCAGAGAUUUAUGUAACAUGCCAAAGGUCACACAGCUGGACACAGCAGAACCAAGAUUCAAAUCUGCACAGCAGUAAAUGAAACCAGCCCAGCUGCGUGCUCACCUGAAACUUAUUUUCUCCUUCACGUUCCAAACUCAUGACUUGCUUGUGGCAGAAAAAAAGAACUACUUCGGGGUCCGCAACCCCUGGCAGUGGACCGGUACCAGCCCAUGGCCAGUUAGGAUCUGGGUAACACAGCAGCAGGGCCAUUUCAGUCCAAGGAGGAAUGGGACGCAUAGGUGACC
rnacentral:lncRNA from 1 species